GACGGAGGGUGCUAGCGUUGUUCGGAAUGACUGGGCGUAAAGGGCGCGUAGGCGGCCGACCCAGUCGGGUGUGAAAGCCCGGGGCUCAACCCCGGAACGGCACCCGAUACUGGUUGGCUGGAGACCGAGAGAGGUGAGUGGAAUACCCAGUGUAGAGGUGAAAUUCGUAGAUAUUCGGAAGAACACCAGUGGCGAAGGCGACUUACUGGACACAUAUUGACGCUGAGGUGCGAAAGCGUGGGGAGCAAACAGG
rnacentral:rRNA from 1 species